rnacentral:rRNA from 1 species
UACGGGGGGGGCAAGCGUUGUUCGGAAUUACUGGGCGUAAAGGGUUUGUAGGUGGCCAACUAAGUCAGACGUGAAAUCCCUCAGCUUAACUGGGGAACUGCGUCUGAUACUGGUUGGCUUGAGUGCAGGAGAGGAAUGCGGAAUUCCAGGUGUAGCGGUGAAAUGCGUAGAUAUCUGGAGGAACACCGGUGGCGAAGGCGGCCGCCUGGACCUGACCUGACGCUGAGGCGCAAAGGCGUGGGGAGCGAACGGG